UACAGAGGGUGCGAGCGUUGUUCGGAAUUAUUGGGCGUAAAGGGCGCGUAGGCGGCGUGACAGUCACUUGUGAAAUCUCCGGGCUUAACUCGGAACGGUCAAGUGAUACUGUCGUGCUAGAGUACAGAAGGGGCAACUGGAAUUCUCGGUGUAGCGGUGAAAUGCGCAGAUAUCAGGAGGAACACCGGUGGCGAAGGCGGGUCUCUGGGCCGAUACUGACGCUGAGGAGCGAAAGCGUGGGGAGCGAACAGG
rnacentral:rRNA from 1 species